UGGGGGGGAAUCUUAGAAGACUUCAUACAAAAUUGAUUUUGAAGAAGCUUUUUAUUUUUUAUUAUUUUUUAAAAAUUAUUUUGUUUAUUUAUUUGACAGAGAGAGACACAGCGAGAGAGGGAACACAAGCAGUGGAAGAGGGAGAAGCAGGCUUCUUGCAGAGCAGGGAGCCCAAUGUGGGGCCCGAUCCCAGGACUCUGGGAUCAUGACCUGAGCCGAAGGCAGACACUUAACGACUGAGCCCCCCAGGCACCCUCUGAAGAAGCAUUUUCACUGUAGAUGUUCCCAGCUGGAGAAGAUGGGGAAGAAAAGGAGAAUGCAAUUCUGGAAUGAAGAUGGGAUCUGAACAGAAGUGCAGAGUCAUGGGAAGACUUAAUUUACAUCAUUUGAAGAAGUUAAUGGCAGAUGGUGGAGAUAGCAAUUUCAGACCAUUCUUCUGAAGCCGUCGUUACCAAGGGGGGAGCUGGUAUAAUAUCGGCAGUAGUAAUGAGUGGACGUGAUGAGGCAAGGGGGCCACCCAGGGACGCCUGGCACAGGUACAGUGCCACCUGCAUGAAGAAAAGCCCAGUGUUUUAUGAGACAAGUACAUCAGUUAUUUCCAGGAAUGUGAACAACAUGCUGCACCAAGUAAAACAAUGUGAUUCCGUGAUUUGAAGGAAAUGAACCAGAGUGGCCAUGAGGGUGAACGUCAAGGAAGUUCCUUAGAAGAAAAUUUAUAUUUGAAAAAUUUACAUAAUAUAAAUGAAGCCCUCCCCCCCAAUUUCCAUGGUAUCUCCCUCAAAAUUGCAAGUCAGAUGAG
rnacentral:lncRNA from 1 species